GGCCCCGUGGUGUAGCGGUUUUAACAUGCCACCCUGUCACGGUGGAGAUCAGGGGUUCGAAUCCCCUCGGGGUCG
rnacentral:tRNA from 1 species